rnacentral:lncRNA from 1 species
UUUGAAACACCAGCAUGGACCUCGUCGAAAUGCUACUUAUGUAAUUUAGACUCUCAGGAAGUUUGCUUCAAAAUAGUUAUUACUAUAUAAACAUUACCCUUUUGUUUUACUUAUUUACUAUUUCUUAAUAUUUAAGUAUUUUAGACGAAGAAAAGUUCAUAUAACUUGUAAUAAUGUCAGUUGAAGUUUGUAUUAAUUUAAUUUUUAUUAUUUAUUUAAUAGCUAAUUUUAUGAGAUAAAUAUUUUCAUUAUUGCAAAUAUUUAUUUAUAUUUGGGUAAGUAUUUGUAUUUAAAUGAAAGUAUUAUUUAUGCCACAAAUGUAUUAUCAGGUUAGCGAGAUCUUCUAACUUCAAAAUGUAUUAUUUUAAAAUGUUUCGAGUUUUUUUUUUUUUAAAAAAACUCACAACAGAUGUGAAAAUAUGUGAAUAUAUAAAAUAUAGUUGAUCUCUUCACAAGUUCAAAUGACAUCUAAAGAAUUUAACGUAGAAUACACAUGCAAAGCACAUCUGGUUAGAUGACAACAAAAAUACAAAACAAAUAUCGUCUAUAAGGUAAUAUUAGUGAGAUAAGACUAAUUACAUAAUUGAACCUCAUCAAAUUGAAAUAAAUCUAUGCAUAAUUGCAUUUAACUAAUAAAAGUUUUCAUUGAUCAUCUUCAUAAAUUUGCGUGAAGAAAAGAUAUAUAUGACGAUCCACAUUGAACAUUCACAAAAGAAUCUGCAAUAUUAUUUUUUACUAAGCUUAUUAUUCAAAUCUUAAUUUGCUUAAAUACGCAAUACUAUUUACUAUAACACAUAUUUUUGAAAUUGGUAAUCACGUGCAAUGCAUGUGUCAGAAAACUAGUAUAUAUAUAACAUGAGGAAGCAAUAGUUAUUCAUAGCAUGAAAAAAUGUAUCAAAUAAGAUAAUUAAUACACUGUAAGAUGCAUGAUCUUGUGCAUGAUUUGGCUGGAGAUAUUUUAAAGUCUAAACUAUUUGAUCAAAAGAGUGUAGGAGGAGAAAAUCUUUCUCAAGUCCGAUACUUUGGAUGGGACUCACCAAGUGAUAAAAUAGAUAAGAUAAACGAGCAUGGACGUUUGUGCACAUUUUUCUGUAAAAGAAAUAUAUCUGAAGAUAUGCUGUUGAGCUUUCAGUUCUUGAGAGUUAUAAAUUUGUCCAGGUCAGGCAUUGAGGUGUUGUCAGCCAAAAUCGGCAAGCUAAUAUACUUGAGAUAUCUUGAUCUCUCCAGUACUGAGAUCAAAGACUUGCCCAACUCCGUUUGCAAGCUCUACAAUUUGCAAACAUUUAGAGUCAAUGGCUGUUCUUCACUGAGGAAGCUUCCGGAAGAAAUGGCAAAUAUGAAAAGUUUGAGACACAUAUAUUACCAAUCAGAAAUUGAUUAUCAGUUUCAGAUGCCACUUAAUAUGGGGAAAUUGAUCAGUCUUCAGACGCUACAAUUUUUCUACGUAGGUGUAGAGAAAGGUCGUCAAAUAGAAGAAUUAGGUCGUUUGAAAAACCUUAGAGGUGAAUUAACAAUCAAAUGUCUACAAUUAGUCGGCAAUAAAGAAGAGGCUCAAACAGCAUAUUUACAGGAGAAACCAAAUAUCUACAAGCUGGUGUAUUUAUGGUCCCAUGAUGAAUCAGAAGGCUGUGAGAUCAAUGAUGAGCAUGUGUUGUAUGGUCUUCAACCACAUCCUAACUUGAAAACCUUAGUAGUGGAGAACUAUUGGGGGACUAUAUUUCCUUCAUGGUUCAGUGAAGAAUUGCUGCCAAAUUUGGUCAUGUUGAAAUUAAGUGGUUGCAAGAGGUGCAAAGAUAUUCCAUCGCUUGGUCAACUGAAGUUCCUUAGGCAUCUUGAGAUGAUUGGAUUCAUUGAAUUGGAAUGCAUUGGACCUACAUUUUAUGGUGUUGAUAAUGGAUCAAGCAGCAAUAAUGGCAAUAUCCAAGUGUUCCCGUCAUUGAAAGAACUAGUAUUGAAGGAUAUGCAUAGGCUUAUAGAGUGGAAGGGAGAUGAAGUUGGAGUAAGACUGUUUCCUGGGCUUGAGAGGUUGACGAUUACAGAGUGUCCACUGUUAAAAAGUGCUCCAACUCAAUUGGAAACCCUGCAUGAAUUAGAAAUUGAAAGAGUUGACAGUGAAAUGCCAUUGUUGAACUUGUGCAGCAACUUAACAUGUCUUGUGGAUCUUUCUGUCAGUGACGUGAAAGAGCUCACUUGUCUACCUGAUGAGAUGCUACGCAACAAUGCUUCUCUUCAACGCCUAUGUAUCUCAGCCUGCAGAGAGUUUCAUGAAUUACCACAGAGCUUGUACAAUCUCCAUUCCCUUAAGAGCUUAGGAAUAGCCUUGUGCCCCAAUUUCAGUUCUUUUCCGGUUCCCAGUGGAGAGAAUUAUUUAUCUUCCCUCCAAAGGCUUCAGUUACUUUAUUGUGAUGGAUUGACCAGUUUACCAAAUGGAAUGCUAGAACAAUGUCGGUCUCUAAAGAUUUUGAGGGUCAGCAACUGUAAGAACUUGGUUUCCUUCCCUUUACAUGUAUGGGAAAUGCCUUCACUUUCCAUUUUGGAUAUGUCAGAUUGUCCCAAAUUGAUUAGUCUACCCACAGGAGGCCUUCACCGUCUCACUGGGUUACGGCAUUUGAAAAUUGGUCCUUUCUCAGAGAUGGUGGAUUUUGAGGCAUUCCAAUUGUUUUUUAAUGGCAUUCAGCAGCUGUUGUUCCUUCGUACAUUGAGGGUGUACGGACAUGGGCACUGGGAUUCUCUGCCCUAUCAGCUUAUGCAACUCUCUUCUCUAAUUGAGCUCGAAUUAAGUGAUUUCAGUAUCGAGGAUCUUCCUCAUAGUCUUUGCAAUCUUACUUCUCUUGAAACAUUACAUCUAGAGGGGUGCAAACGGCUACAACAUGUGGACUUCAGAGGUGCCAUGCCCAAAUUACAUUAUCUUGAGAUCUAUUGUUGUCCAUUGUUAGAAUCUCUGUCGGAUGGACUCAGCAACCUUGUUUGUUUGGAAACGUUAAUUUUUUGGAACUGCGAAAUACUAGAGCGUCUGCCAUCCAGAGAUGUCAUGCAAAGCCUCACGAAAUUACAGUACCUGGAAAUUAAAGACUGCCCACAGUUAGAAGAAAGUUGCACCAAUUGGAGUAGCCCAAACUCCCAGUGGUCCAACAUUUCCCAUAUUCCAAAAAUUAAAGUAGGCUGGAGGAUAAUCCAGGAUAGACGUAAGUCUCUGUUUCUCUUUCACUUUCUGAGUCCAUUUUUUAAAUAUUAUUUUCUACGAGUUCCAGAAAAAAAGCUUUGUAUGUGAUUUUUUUUUUCCUGCAACAUUUUGACGUUAAAAAAUGCAAAAUUAACAAUCAAGUGCAUCUGUGCUAUGCUUUCAACAUUCUGCGUGUCCACUUGAACCGAAUUGUUCUUCUUCUAAUUCUUCAAGUAUGGUAUAUCUUGCUAUGCUUUAAUCAUGUAAUUUAUGUUUUUUUUUCCUUAUAGGUUACUAGUUUCAAGGUCAUGCACUCAUGCUAGAACGUCGCUGUGGCAAAUCAAGCUAAAUCCCAUGAGCGGCAGGCAAUUACGUUAGGUAAAUUUUCAUUUAGAAUUUAUAGGCACUUUGUAAUCUACUUAUUUUUUGGGAACCAAUUUUCGGAGGUCUAUGCUGAUGAAUACAAUAUUACCUUUCCUAAAAGAAAAGUUUAAUCAUGAAAAAAUUAUGUUUCUUCUCAUAGGUUACUAGGUGAAUAAGUAAUUUAUUAUUUACUUAUUGGUGAAACGCUAGAGGUAACAGAACCAUUUCUUUCAGAAAUCCACUUACAUAAGCUUUGAUGCAAGACAUAUUUCCUUUUGGUCCGAAAUGUGACUUGUACUGAUGGUAGAAGCUUCUUCAUUUUUUGUUGACCGUCUUCAACAGUAUUUCCUUUUAAUUUUCAGGGGACAGAUAGGAACAUUUCGCUUCAGUGACUGUGGUUGCAUGAAGCUUGAAAGUUCAAGGUAAGUGAAUUUUUUGUCCAUAAAGAUAGCAAAUGGUGUCAAUACUUUUUUCUCUGGAAUGGAUUUUCUUUUUCCUCUAAAUGUUGUUUUUAAAUCAUCUCACUUAUCUAAAAUCUCGUUUACUUUUCUUAGUAUAUUGAAAACUCUCAAGGAACUAUUUCCAUGUCCACAUAUGGUAGAAAUCUAUAUAAGUUUGUUAAUAGGCUCAUAAAAGAAUAAUCUUUUCUGCAACGCUGGUUUUAUUUUCAUGCUUUAGACAGUAGAACUUUUAUGAAUAUAUGACACACUUCUCAUUACUUUCACUUCACAGGCCAAUUUCUCCGUUCAUUAAAGCUUCCGUGAAUGAAGGACUUCAACAAAGAUAGUUGUCAUGAAUCUUAUAGCAAAGAGUGUCCCAUUAGCAGUAUCUGUUCAUCUUAAACAGGUUUGGCUUUCUCUUUUUUUUAGUGGUUACUUGUAAUGAUCGAUCUGCUUCUCUAUUCUUCCAAGGAGGAAACAUGUGCCAAAACUGACUUUUUACCAUUUCCCGUGUUCCAGAUUCAUGUUUGAAAUACCAUCAUGGACCUCGUCGAAAUGCUACUUGUGUUAGAUGUGUUUCAAUGUCAUAAUUGGCAAGGGAAAUUGCAUUCCGUAAACUCGUUUGCAUUUGGCUGAAUUGGAUUGGAGAUAUCAUUUCCUUGAAUGUACGAAAUCCCAGAAAAGUGAAAUUAGUUGAGCUUGAUGUUGGUCCAAUUCUAAACUAAAUUAACUGGCACUGUCGAAAGAGCAACUUAUGUCUUGUGAUUUUUAUUUUACUGGUAUGUGAGACGUGCAUUACACGUUUAUCCCAAAAUACUUUAUACAAAUUUUGUAUUGUAAAUAAUAAAUUUAAAUGACACAUAUAUUAUUGAAUUUUCUAUGUGUCAUAAAAUAAAAAUCAAAGCAUACAAAAUAAAAGUAACCACUCAUAAAUUGAGGUUAGAAAAUCUUGCAAAUUUGAUGCUACAUAGCACAUAUAUAGUAUUUUAAUUUAAAGAUAAAUACAUAUUAUAAUAGUAAAAGUAUUUAAAUCGUGAAAUUAACUAUUAUGCAUGAAAAAUAAAAACUAAAUCGAUACAUAUAUAUUGAAUUGCAUCUUCUUCUUUUUUUACCAUAAUUUCAAUAUUAACGCUUUCCCUCUUCUUCUUUUUUUUCUUUUGAAAUGAUUUUUUUAGGAAGCCUAGGAUCAUCCAUUAACUGUUGUCUCCGAUGAUGACAGGAGUCUUCUGAACAAAAUUGUUGAGUUCAAUUUGAUUAGUUUAAUUUCCGUGUUUAAUUAGUUGGAUCAUAACAAACCAUCAGUUGAUAGUAGAGUGGUGGACACCCAGAGAAGACCAAUUUUGAUUGGCACUGGGUUUGUAUGCUAAGGCUUCCCCUCCAGCCCUAAAAUAAUGAAACCACCAAGAACCAUAUGAGUCACUACACCUAUUAGUAUAAAUAUAUACAUGUCCGCUUCUUUUUUCCUUCCACAUAUUCCUCAUUUGCAUCUUAAUUUUUUUAGUUAUUAUUGAAGAUUUUUGUUUGUGCUUAUGAGUUUCAUGUUAUAUUUUUCUUUUUGGAAAAGGGCCUAAAAUACCCUUGAACUAUUGAAAAUGGUACAAAAUUACCCUCCAUCAACCUAUUGGCUUCCAAAUUAUUUUCUUUUCCUGGUUAAGUUUGAUACUAAAAUUAAAAUUCAUAAAAUAAAUUCAUUUUUUCAUUAAGUUGUAUUAAUUUAAUAGGAUAGUGACUUAAAAUUUUAUUUUUUAGAGGUCAAGAAAUUGAGUUAUUUUUUAUUGAACCACUUUCAUUUACUAUCUUGAAUAUUUUAGUAGCUUUAAAGAAAUUAUUUUAAUAAGUAACGUUCUAUCACUCUUAUAACAUGUAAAAAUUAAAAUUGAAUUUAAACCCACAUAAAAUCACAUAUACCCGCUGUAGACACCCAAUUUUGACCCUCCCCGAUAAUAAUUAUUUCACGAGCUUCUUAAUUCCCCAAACGAUUUAGAAUAAUUAGUUUAUAAAAUUCAAAUAAUUUUCAAGUCAUUUUAAGUAGUUUUGUCAUUUUUAUAAUUUUAAAUAAUAAAUAUGAUAUUUUAUAUUAUUAUGUGUCUAAUUAGUAUAUUUUAUGAAUGUUCGAAAAUUGUCUCUAAAGGAUUUUAGUUUCAUUUAAAUAUUUGGUUAUUUAGUUUAAAUUAAUUAAUAGCUUAUAUUUUGAGUUAAUUAGUUUAUAAUUCAGUUAAUUAUUAUAUAAUUAUGUGUCUAAUUAGUAUAUUUUAUGAAUGUUCGAAAAUAGUCGACAAAAAGUAUUUUUGUUUAAAUAAAAUAUUUGGUUAAUUAGUUUAGUUACAUAAUAUUUUAUAUUUUAAAUUAUUUGGUUUAUAAUUAAGUCAAUUAUUUUAUUUUGCUGAAAUUAAGAAGCUUAUUGAUUAAUCUAUAUUAAUUCAUCUUGCUUAAUUACUAGUCGAACUUAUCCUAGUCAACUAAGUUUGACUACAUUUGGCUUUAAUUUAAAUUCAUGUAGCCAAAGUUUAAAUCCAAUUCUAGCUUUAUCAAUUUUUAAAGGACCAAAUUUUGGUCCUUUUCUCAAAUUUGACCAAAAUCAUGGCCCAACAGCCCAUAUCCAAACAAUACGUACAUCAAACAACCAAACCGACCCCACCCUUUUUUCUUUUUUCCAGCAAUUCCCAACUACCUAGGCCCACCAUUUUAAUUCCUCCAACAAUACUAAAAUAAUAACAACAUACACCAAACCGGCCCCCAUCUGCAUCGUUCUUCUUCUUCGCAGAAACGAACAACAGCCCAAAAACGAACAGCAGCCCAGAACGAGCAGCAGCCCACCGCGACAGCCAGCGAAUCAAAUCGACCCGGAACCGGCAGUCCAAAGGCGUUAACACAUCUCCCUCACAUCCCUCUCCGUGGUACGAUUUGAGCAGAGAAAAGCAGCACGCGCUCCGUCCUCCUUUCCCCUUUCGGAAUGAGUCAAGACUUCAAGGGAAAGGGUGUUUGUCCGAAAUGGUGAAAGUUUGGAGUUUGAAUUUCGAAUUUGGGGCCCUUGUUUCUACCCGGUUUUGGUCCUUUUCCCCCCAUUUCCGAACCCGAUUUUUCCUUCUAUAUAGGUUGUUUUGUUGUUCACGAAAGAGGGGAUAUUUUUUGGAGUUGAAAAUUUUUGUGUCAAGGAAAUAUUGAAAAAAGUUUAGAAGAAAAACAGAGAAAAAAGGCUAGACGAAAAUGGGGAAAAUUGAAAGAAAAAAUUGAAAAGGUUUGGGAAAAAUGGUCAAAAGAUAUAUAGAAAGGGGAAUAGAAAUAUAGUUUACACCAUAGUUUAUUUCGAGUAUAGCAAAUAGGCACGAAGGAGUUUCUAGCUUGUUCAUCGUUAGCCGGAGCUUGUCGUAGUUCCGUCAUUGGUAGAAGUCGUUGCUCCUCCGCUUGUUGGUUCUAGUCGCUGCCCGCCAAAAGUCUCUUGGACUCUUACUUCUCGUAGUUGCAUUUCAAGUUGGGCCAUGAAGGCCCAAAAUCCUUUCUUUUCAAGUCCAUCUUUAUCAGAUUGAUAUGCCAGACACCGGCGAACAGGUCAUUUUGGAAGCUGAACAUGUCCUCGAAAGUCAACGCAUUGGGACCAUAGCUGAUACAUAAUGAUAUACAGCAAUAUACACCAAGUGUAUAUGCUGUAUAUAUGGCAGAAUGGGGCCCAAAAGCCCAUCUCUUUAUCUUAAUUUGUAUUUUGUUAUUUUGGGCCUAAGCCUUUAUCAUUCCGAUUAUUAUUAUUCUGUUAGUUCUCAGGACAGGUAAAAGAAUUGGGCCUAAGGCCCAAAGAUAAAAUAUAUUUCUUUAUAUUAGACUAGGACAGGUGCGGGUGACUCAAGUAGGCCAAAGGGCCCAAAACGAAAAUAGGCCCAAGUAUUGGUCCAGGCGGACAGAAAAACCAAACUUGGGCCCAGACCUCUUUCCCUCUUUGUUUUAUUAUGUUUACUUAUUUAUUAGUAUUUGUCGUUAAUCUUAGGGUCGAAAAGUUCAAAUCCCCGAGAGACGCUCAUUUCGUUUUAACAAUGUAACUAAACUGGUCAUCUCUUAACAAGACUUAAACAAACAAUUUUGUAAGAUAGUCCACUUAGAUAAUAUUUAAAUAUUUCCCUUUUUUCCCCUUUAAAAUAGUUCUAAUUACAAAACAAAUCAAUUUUGCAAUUUAAGUUAAAGUUAAAUCUUUUCAGCCGAGUAAAUUAAUUGUCGGAUAACCGCAUUAGCGGAUAUUCUAGGUGCCUUAAAAACCUUCCUAGAAUAUUAAUAAGAACCCCCGAACCCCCUUAAGUAUUUUCAAUUGAUGCCCUGUUUUAAUCUAUUGAAAAACAAUUUUCUUGAUUUUUCUUAAAAAUUAAGUGGCGACUCUUAAACCAGUCAAAUAAUAUUUUCCUAAUGAAACAGAAUGGCGACUUCCACUGGGAAUUUGAAUGGUUCUAACCUUAAGAUUCAUUUAUUUGUCUAUGUGAUUUAACUGUCUACUUGUUUUAUUUAUCGUAUAUAUUGAACUGUUGCAUUCAUGGCAUGACAUAUUUCGUCAAAUGAUAAUUAUUUUAAUUUCCAUCUAAAGGACGAUUAUGCGGGCCGUAGUCGUUCGUUAACCAAAUUAUUCUCGGGGCACCCUGACGAAUGUAGUUGGCUACUGGAUAGUCAACGGUCGUUAACUGUCCCAGCCCAAGUUGUCCGUUUGGGUCACCUAUCCAUUAUAAACGAAGCCCACUCUUAGUCAAGACUAGCGUAGAGCCAAACUCAGCUAGCGCAUCAAACUAAGAUGACCCAACACCCAAGGUGUGUUAGGCCCAUUAGAGAGACCACCUUGAGUUCAAAACGGCCCACGGCCUAAAUGAACGAUCAUAUUUAUGUGUUUAAAUUUGAAAGAUGUAUACGUUGUUUGACAAACCAUUGUCUCUUAGGGUAGAGAGCUUAAUAAUUUGUUCGAGUCGAAGAAGGAUCAAAUUACUAGUCCAUCCAAAGGCAUUGACACUCGGAGAUGACAAGAAAUCAAUAAAGAAGAGGGACCUCACAUGGAAGAAUAGUUUAGGAUUGUACCCCUCUGUGGGAUUAAUUAUUUGUAUCCCUUUUCCCUAUUAUGUAUCCUCAUUUAGUUUAUUUAUAAAACUUGUAUAAUUUUGGGUUUUAGGGGGCAAUGGAAUGUUUCAAAUGACAUAUACAUCCUUCAAAUCGUUAGGCCUACCCUUGGCAUAAAAGGGUCACAUAUCUGUUUAAAAAUGCAUAAUAUUUGUUUGUGUGCUAUGUGAUUAACUGUUUGUGUGAAUAUGUUGCUUCAUUUGGAGAUAUUCUAGCUUACUCUUCUUCGAAUUAUUUUUAGAACCCCUAAGCACAAAUAUCAAGUCACUAUCAAAAGUGCGUCCAAAUACUCUUCGAGUUUUUAGUUUCCUAACAAAAUUUGAACUUCACUUUCAAAUUCAUACUCUUAUAUCUCAGAAAAGGUCGAUUUACUCAAGUCAAAAAGAAAGGUCGAACUACGUAGGACCUGAAUUCUCUUUUGUGAGAUACGUAGGCAGCCUUUCAAGGUUCGGUCCCCAUUUUUGAGAAAUUCUAUAUUUCCAACUCUUACAAAGAAAUUAGAGUUACAUCUCAAUCGAAAAGCAAAGUAUGACAAUGAAAUAUACAAUAGAUUUUGUCUCGACUCAAGUCGACAUUCAGGUCCAUUAAGCUCAAAAAUCAAAUAGUCAAAUUUUCGUCUAUUUAGUCAUUUAUUUAUGUGGGCUAGUUUAUCUUCAAAUGAAACAACUUUUAUGUGUUUACAAUAAUGUGUGUGAUAUUUUGUAUUAUUUAUCAUCGACACAGACUAACACAUUUGCCUUUGAGUUGUUUUUCUUUGUCAGGUACUUAAAACUGAUCUGUGUUGAGAAAAAUGGCUGGACAUCCGUACUUCACAAGGUCCAAAGACCCCAAAGAUUUCUUCUACGACCAAUGUUUGUCAAAAGGCAAAGAAAAAGUAGUUGAAAAUGUUGAGAAUACAAAUUUGACCGAAAUUACUGUGAAUGACCUCAUCAUUGUCGAACAUAACAAGUUGAUUGCACAAUUGUUCCAACAGAUUGCUGAAAUGAGGGCGGAAAUGGAUAAGACACGAAAUUUGACGAAUCUAGCUAUUAGUGCCGACACUCCUACUCUAGACAACGGAAGACCUCCACUCCAUUUUCCUACUUCGGAUCCAACACUCAAGGAUUUUUCAAACAAUUCAUCCCCCUCUACCAUUCCAAAACCUCCCAUCAUCGACUUAACCACCCCUAACCCACAUCAUGCUAGCUCUUCACACCAAAAAUUACCCUACUCCUCCAAAUCCAAAUACCAACACUUUCCAGAAUUUUCCUCAUGUCCAUCAAACCCUUACUCAAAUUGUCGAAAACCCACCUACAACUCAACCCAUACCCUUAAAAACCGCAUUUCAUCUUCCAAUAUCGCCAGAAUCAUACCAUCCAUUUACUACACAUGUUGAACUCGAGCAUUAUGAGAAGAAUGAAAAGGAAUGGAAGGUCAUAAAGGGAAAGACUGAGCAAAGCAUCAGAGAGGAAGUUAUGGAUGCAAUGAAGAACUUUCAAUACACACCAGACAUUGCGGGGCUGAAUUAUGAAGAUUUGUGUCGUCAUCCACAUUUGGAGCUUCCAGAAGGUUUUAAAGUACCAAAAUUUGACACUUAUAGUGGAGUUGAAAAUCCUUUUACUCAUUUGAGGUCUUAUUGUGAUCAACUUAUUGGAGUAGGGAGAGAUGAAGCUUUGCUAAUGCGACUCUUUAGUCGUAGCCUGAAAGGAGAAGCCUUGGAAUGGUUUAUUUCUAAAGAAAUCAAGCAGUGGCCAAGUUGGAACGCUUUGGCUACUGAUAGUAGAGGUUCUUCAGUUUCCAUUUACUGUGUCUUCAACAGUAUUCCUUUUUCCUGGUUAAUUUUCGGGGGACAGAUUGAAACAUUUUGCUUCAGUGGUGACUGUGGUUGCGCGAAGCUUGAAAGUUCAAGGUAAGUUAGUUAUAUGUUCAUGCUGUAGACAGUAAAACUUUUAUGAAUAUAUGACACACUUGUCGUUACUUUCACUUCACAGGAUAAUUUCUCUGCUCAUUAAAACUUCCGUGAAUGAAGGACUUCAACAAAGAUAGUUGUCACAAAUCUUAUAGCAAAGAGUUCUCCCAUUAGCUCUUAAAAUGUCCUAAGCAGUAUCUGUUCAUCUUAACAGGUUUUGCUUUCUCCUUUUUUUAGUGGUUACUUAUAAUGAUCUGCUUCUCCAUCCUCCCAAUUAGGAAACGUGUGCCAAACUAACUUUUUACCAUUUCCUGUGUUUCAGAUUCAUGUUUGAAACACUAGCAUGUUACUUGUGUUGGAUGUGUUUCAGUGUCAUCAUUGGCAAGGGAAAUUGCACUCCGUAAGCUCAUUUGCAUUUGGCUGAAUCUGGAUUGGAGAUAUUACUUCCCUGUAUGUGGAGAUCCCGGAAAAGGGUCACGAGUGAUUGUCAAUUGAGCUUUUCGCGUAUACUGAAAUGAGAGUCCAAUGGUCCAGUCGGAACACCCAGCCCACAGCUCCUGAAAUUCUAAACUGAAUUAACCUGGCAGUGUUGAAUAGCAUUCAAAGUAGAAAGAGCAACUUAUGCCAGUUACUUUGCUACAUUUCUCUACCAUGGUUGUAUGUUGUGUAUAGAGCAACUUGUGUCUUGCAAUUUUAUUUUAUUGUUUUGAUGUCAGAAAUACUUUCAGCAAGACAAUAUUACAUGGUGUUAGGGUUACAACGUAACUUGUUAUCCAAAUCGACAAAUAAAUAAUUUUAUAAUACUUAUUAAGUUUGACUUCAAGUAAGAAUAUAACUAGUUUAAUGAAAUAUUAACCAAAUUGUUUCCCAAUGAUCACAAUGAAGCACAAAAGAUAUGUGUGAUUCAAUCAUUACGGCUCUUUAGGAUGUUUUGAUAUCGUGUAUAUGAAUCAUGGUUUGCUCAUUUGNNNNNNNNNNNNNNNNNNNNNNNNNNNNNNNNNNNNNNNNNNNNNNNNNNNNNNNNNNNNNNNNNNNNNNNNNNNNNNNNNNNNNNNNNNNNNNNNNNNNNNNNNNNNNNNNNNNNNNNNNNNNNNNNNNNNNNNNNNNNNNNNNNNNNNNNNNNNNNNNNNNNNNNNNNNNNNNNNNNNNNNNNNNNNNNNNNNNNNNNNNNNNNNNNNNNNNNNNNNNNNNNNNNNNNNNNNNNNNNNNNNNNNNNNNNNNNNNNNNNNNNNNNNNNNNNNNNNNNNNNNNNNNNNNNNNNNNNNNNNNNNNNNNNNNNNNNNNNNNNNNNNNNNNNNNNNNNNNNNNNNNNNNNNNNNNNNNNNNNNNNNNNNNNNNNNNNNNNNNNNNNNNNNNNNNNNNNNNNNNNNNNNNNNNNNNNNNNNNNNNNNNNNNNNNNNNNNNNNNNNNNNNNNNNNNNNNNNNNNNNNNNNNNNNNNNNNNNNNNNNNNNNNNNNNNNNNNNNNNNNNNNNNNNNNNNNNNNNNNNNNNNNNNNNNNNNNNNNNNNNNNNNNNNNNNNNNNNNNNNNNNNNNNNNNNNNNNNNNNNNNNNNNNNNNNNNNNNNNNNNNNNNNNNNNNNNNNNNNNNNNNNNNNNNNNNNNNNNNNNNNNNNNNNNNNNNNNNNNNNNNNNNNNNNNNNNNNNNNNNNNNNNNNNNNNNNNNNNNNNNNNNNNNNNNNNNNNNNNNNNNNNNNNNNNNNNNNNNNNNNNNNNNNNNNNNNNNNNNNNNNNNNNNNNNNNNNNNNNNNNNNNNNNNNNNNNNNNNNNNNNNNNNNNNNNNNNNNNNNNNNNNNNNNNNNNNNNNNNNNNNNNNNNNNNNNNNNNNNNNNNNNNNNNNNNNNNNNNNNNNNNAAAAAAAAUGAGAAAAUAUCUAUGCUUUAUGUUUUGUUGCUUUGUAUACGUUAGCCUAGCAUGUGGUAUUUUAGAAUCCUCAUUUGAAUAUUGUAUUUGUACAAUAGUUAGUUAAUUUUACUUUAUGCACUUAUAUAUUCUUUUUAUUAGGAAAAUCUAUGUACUUUCUAUUGUAAAAAUGAUGAUUUUUUUAGUAAAUAUCAAUAGAUUUGAAGGACAUAAAAUAUGUUAUUUGCAAUCAAAAUUUAUAUGAAGUAUUUUGGGAUAAACUAGAACUAGUUAUUCGAUAAAGUGGUGCACUUUUAAUCCCAACCCAAAUUUCCGUUAGGUUUUUUACCAGACAAAAGGUUCAAAAUGUGUCUCCUUAUUGAAUUUGUGGAAGAUAAGGUUAGUGCUAAAUCCUUUAGAUAAGGUAAGUGAUUAGUAUGUAAUUGCAGGGGAAAUGUUUAAGUUUUUCAUAGAGUUAAAUGGCUAAAAACACACCUCAAUCCUGUGUGUUUUCGCGAGUUAGAUAAUAAAACUAUCACAAUCUUUGUAUUAAAACACACCUCAAGUACUAAUUGGAAAGUGACCAUAGGAAGAAAACAUCUCAUUUAAUCUUGCAGCACUCCAUAACUUGAUCCAUAUCACGGGAACGUAACAACUUGGUAUCAUAGACAGGAGUUAUAAGAAAACAUCUGAUUUCAUCUGAUUUUCUUCUGUCUAAUUUGAUGACUUAUGAGUAAAUCUGAGACGAUGACCUUUGAUAAUGUCUGUGCCACUCAACUAUGCUCUAUCCAGAUGAUGUUCUCAAAAUUUUCAACAAUUUAGUAAUUUAAGUGCAUAUAGCUUAAGGAUAAAAAAACUGGUCAGUUACAAUUUUUUCUUAUUUAUGCUUUCAGGUAACUGGAAACAGUCCUCUGAUUUUAUCCGUGAACUAGCAAAAGAAGACGACUUUGUGAAGGAGCAAAAAUAACAAUGGCCGAUCCAGUAAUUGGUGCUACUGUUCAAGUUGUGCUUGAGAAGCUGCUUUCUCUCACUAUUGAGGAGGCCAAAACUUUAAGGAACUGCAAGAAAAAUCUCAGAAUGCUCACAAAAUAUGUAUCCAUCAUCCAAGCUUUCAUUCAUGAUGCUGAAAGACGACAAGUCGAAGAUCAGGCUGUGGAAGAAUGGCUCAAGAUGCUUGAGAGAGUUGCUGAAGAUGCUGAAAAUGUGUUUGACAAAUUCACAUAUGAAUCUCUCAAAGCACAAGUGAUGAAAAACCGAGCCAAACUACUGGAAAAAGUUCAUAGCUUCUUUUCUAAUACUGCUUUUAAGUACAAAAUGUCUCGAAAAAUCAACAACAUCAAUGAAGAGUUGAGGGCUAUCAAUCAGUUAGCCAAUGACCUCGGUCUCCAAUCACUGACUGUUCCUUCUCGCAAAAUACUACAAAUCAGAGAAACAGAUUCCUUAGGAGUUGCUUCGGAUGUUGUUGGUAGAGACAAAGAUGUUGCUGAAAUAAAGGAGAAGAUGUUGAACAUGAGAGAGGAAGUUGUUCGGUGUGCCAUUCCCAUAGUGGGCAUGGGGGGUUUAGAGAAAACUACCAAAACAACUUUGGCCAAGAGAAUUUUCAAUGAUGAACAGAUCGAGAAGCACUUUGAAAAGAGAGUAUGGUUAUGUCUACCUGAAAUGUCAGAAAUUAAGAGCUUUCUUGAACUGAUCCUCGAAGCAUUGACUGAGAGGAAACUUGAGGUCCAGAGUAGAGAUAUUAUAGUCAAGAAGGUCCGAGAUGAACUGGCAGGAAGAAAGUAUUUGAUUGUCCUGGAUGAUUUGUGGCGUGUUGACCCAACAUUGUGGGAUGAGUUUGUGGACACCUUGAGAGGAAUAAAUACAUCCCGAGGAAACUUCAUUCUUGUGACUACUCGUAUGGAAUUGGUGGCAUCCACUGUAGUAGCAGCAGUAGGUCCUCAUAUGUUGGAAAAAUUAGAAAAAGAUCACUGUUGGUCGAUUUUCAAACAAAGAGCAUUUGUUGAUGGGGAAGUUCCGGAGGAAAUACUGAGUGUGGAGAACAGGAUUGCUGAAAUGUGUCAAGGUCUACCGUUGGCUGCAAGUGUUUUGGGAGGCCUCUUGCGCAACAAGGAGAAGCAUGAAUGGCAGGCAAUUCUUGAUGGAAACCCCCUUGUUGCAGGUGAAAAUAGCUUAAAGAAAAUCCUAAAACUCAGCUAUGUUCAUCUACCAUCUCCAUAUCUAAAAAAAUGUUUUGCUUACUUUGCAAUGUUUCCAAAAGAUUUUAAGUUUGAAAAGAACCAACUAGUCCAACUCUGGAUGGCAGAAGGGUUUCUUCGUCCAAGUCAAGAGAUUCCUGUUAUGGAAGACGUAGGGAACAAGUUUUUUCAACUUUUGUUGCAAUAUUCCUUGCUGCAAGAUGUUGAGCUAGAUGAGCACAACAAUAUAACACACUGUAAGAUGCAUGAUCUUGUGCAUGAUUUGGCUGGAGAUACAUUAAAAUCUAAACUAUUUGAUACGAAAAGUGUUGGAGGUGAAAAUCUUUCUCAAGUUCGAUACAUUGGAUGGGACUCACCAAGUGAUCAAAUGGAUACGAUAAAUGAGGCAGGACGUUUGUGCACAUUGUUCUGGAAAAGCAAUAUAUCUGAUGAUAUGCUAUUGAGCUUUCAGUUCUUGAGACUUUUAAAUUUGUCUGGAUCAGGCAUCAAGGAGUUGUCAGCCAAAAUCAGCAAGCUAAUAUACUUGAGAUAUCUUGAUCUCUCCAACACUCAGAUCAAAGACUUUCCCAACUCCAUUUGCAAGCUCUACAAUUUGCAAACGUUUAGAGUCAAUGACUGUUCUUCACUCAGGAAGCUUCCAAAAGAAUUGGCAAAAAUGAUAAGUUUGAGACACGUAUAUUACAAACCAUCAAUUUAUGAUCAGUUUCAGAUGCCACUUAAUAUGGGGCAAUUGACCAGUCUUCAGACGCUACAGUUUUUCUACGUAGGCUUAGAGAAAGGUCGUCGAAUUGAAGAAUUAGGUCGUUUGAAAAACCUUAGAGGUGAAUUGUCGAUCAGAUGUCUCCAAUUAGUCAGAAAUAAAGAAGAUGCUCAAACAGCAUAUUUAAAGGAGAAACCAAAUAUCUACAAUCUAGCAUAUUUAUGGUUCCAUGAUGAAUCAGAAGGCUGUGAGAUCAAUGAUGAGCAUGUGUUGGAUGGUCUUCAACCGCAUCCUAACUUGAAAGCCUUAUCAGUAGUGGACUAUUUAGGGACUAAAUUUCCUUCAUGGUUCAGUGAAGAGUUGCUACCAAAUUUGGUCAAGUUGAAACUAAGUGGUUGCAAAAGGUGCAAAGAAAUUCCAUCCCUUGGCCAACUGAAAUUCCUUCGGCAUCUUGAGCUGGAAGGAUUCCAUGAGUUGGAAUGCAUUGGACCUGAUUUAUAUGGUGUUGAGAUUAGCAAUAAUGGAUCAAGCAGCAUUAUCCAAGUGUUCCCGUCAUUGAAAGAACUAGUAUUAGAGAAUAUGCGCAGCCUUAUUGAGUGGAAGGGAGAUGAAGUUGGUGUUAGAAUGUUUCCUAGGCUUGAGAAGUUGACGAUUACAGACUGUUCACUGUUAAAAAGUACUCCAAGUCAAUUUGAAAUCCUGCGUGAAUUAAGAAUUGAAUUAGUUGACAGUGAAAUGCCAUUGUUGAACUUGUACAGCAACUUGACAUCUCUUGUGGAUCUUUCUGUUAGGAAUGUGCAAGAGCUCACUUGUCUUCCAGAUGAGAUUCUACGCAACAACGUUUCUCUUCAAUACCUAUCAGUCUCAUACUGCGGAGAGUUUCGUGAAUUGCCACAAAGCUUGUACAAUCUCCAUUCUCUUAAGAGAUUAAUGAUUGCCAACUGCACCAAUUUCAGUUCUUUUCCUGUUCCCUGUGGAGAGAACUAUUUGACUAACCUCCGAAGGUUGGAUUUAUUCAAUUGUAAUGGAUUGACCAGCUUACCAAGUGGAAUUCUAGAGCAUUGUCGGUCUCUGAUAGUUUUUAAUGUCUGCAAUUGUAAGAACUUAGUUUCAUUGCCUUUACACGUGUGGGAAAUGCCUUCACUUUCCUAUUUGGAUUUAUCAGAUUGUCCCAAAUUGAUUAGUGUACCCGCAGGAGGCCUUCACUGUCUCACCGGGUUAAGGAGAUUGGAAAUUGGUCCUUUCUCAGAGAUGGUGAAUUUUGAGGCAUUCCAAUUGAUUUUUAAUGGCAUUCAGCAGUUGUUGUCCCUUCGUAGAUUGGGUGUGUGGGGACGUGGGCACUGGGAUUCUCUGCCCUAUCAGCUUAUGCAACUCUCUGCCCUAACAGAGAUCAAAAUAUGCAAUUUCGGAAUGGAGGCUCUUCCUCAUAGAUUUGACAACCUUACUUCUCUUGAAACAUUACAAGUAGAGGAGUGCGAGCGGCUAUGGCAUUUGGACUUCUCAGAUUCCAUGUCAAAAUUACGGCAUCUCAGGAUAUAUGCUUGUCCAUUGUUAGAAGCUCUGUCAGAUGGGCUCGGCAACAUUGUUUCUUUGGAAAAAUUAGUUUUACAUCACUGCCAAAAACUAAAACAUCUGCCAUCCAGAGAUGCCAUGCAACGCCUCACCAAAUUACUGUACCUGGAAAUUGGAAGCUGCCCACAGUUAGAAGAAAGUUGCACCAAUCGGAGUAGCCCAAACUCCCAGUGGUCCAACAUUUCCCAUAUUCCAGAAAUUCAAGUAGGCGGGACGAUGAUUCAGGAUACACGUAUGUCUCUGUUUCUCUUUCACUUUCUUAGUCGAUUUUUCAAAUAUUAUUUUCAUGAGUUCCACACAAAAAGCUUUGUAUGUAAUUUAAUAUUAAAAAUGCAAAAUUAAAUCAAUCAUUUGCAUAUGUGAUAUACUUUCAGCAUUCUGCUUGUCCACUUGAACGACUUGUUUUUCUUUUAAUUCUUCAAGUAUGGUAUAUCUUGAUAAUACUUAGGGUGUGUUUGGUAUGAAGGAAAAUGUUUUCCUGGAAAACAAGUUGAUUUUUGACUUAUUUUCUCAUUUUUGGUUGGUGAGUAGAAAAUAGUUUCCGAAAAAGAUUUUUAGUAUUUGAUUUAUGAAUGAUUUUUUUUUUGAGAAAUAUCUUUUAUUUUUACUAGGGUAGAAAAUAAUUUUUGAAAUUGAAAAUAUUUUUUAAAAACAAACUUAAUUUUUUUUGGGGUGGGGUGGUAGGGGUGGGUNNNNNNNNNNNNNNNNNNNNNNNNNNNNNNNNNNNNNNNNNNNNNNNNNNNNNNNNNNNNNNNNNNNNNNNNNNNNNNNNNNNNNNNNNNNNNNNNNNNNNNNNNNNNNNNNNNNNNNNNNNNNNNNNNNNNNNNNNNNNNNNNNNNNNNNNNNNNNNNNNNNNNNNNNNNNNNNNNNNNNNNNNNNNNNNNNNNNNNNNNNNNNNNNNNNNNNNNNNNNNNNNNNNNNNNNNNNNNNNNNNNNNNNNNNNNNNNNNNNNNNNNNNNNNNNNNNNNNNNNNNNNNNNNNNNNNNNNNNNNNNNNNNNNNNNNNNNGGGUUGGUUGGGGGGCUGGUUUGAGGGUAGGGACAAAAUAAAUUGAUUUUUUCAACAAUUUUUUUUUUAAUUGGAAGUUGGAAGAGAGUUUUGGAAAAUGUUUUCCUUAAGUUUUGAAGAGAAGUCAUUUUCCUUAAAUUUGAGGAAAAUGAGUUGAUUUGAAAAACAUUUUCCAAAAAUUUAACCCAAUCAAACAUGAGAAAAUUGGAAAACAUUUUCCGAAAAAUGUUUUCCUUCAUACCAAACACACCCUUAAUCAUGAAAUUUAUGUUUUUUUUUUCCUUCUAGGUUACUAGUUCCAAGGUCAUGCUAGAACAUCGAUGUGGUAAAUUAAGCCAAAUCCCAUGAGCAGCAGGCAAUUACGUUAGGUAAAUUUUCAUUUACAAUUUAUAGGCACUUUGUAAUCUACUAAUUUCUAUCCUUCUUUUUGUUGGGAACUGAUUUUCGGAGGUCUGUGCUGAUGAAUACAACACUACCUUCCUAAAAAAAAAAAAAAAAGAAGUUUAAUCAAGAAAAUUUAUGUUGCUGCUCAUAGGUUACUAGGUACAAGGUCAUGGUAGAACUUCCUUGUGGUAUAUCAAGUCAAAAUCCACGGGCAGUAAUCACAUUAGGUAUUUUUAUUUAGUUGUUAAAGGACUGCUAUAAAAAGUCUGUCAAGUUCUUUUUUGCAUUCCUUUUCUCUCACGAAACAAUUUUACUGUUUAAACGGGGUUUGUUAUGUUUCAUAGAGGCUCAUGGGGUACAAACGGCUACAAAUUACUGUACCUGGAAACUGAAGGCUGCCCAGAGUUAGAAGAAAGUUGCACCAAUCGGAGUAGCUCAAACUCCCACUAGUCCAACAUUUCCCGUGUUCCAAAUAUUGAAGUAGAUGGGAGGAAAAUUCAGAACUUAUGUAAGUCUCUGUUUCUUCUUCUAAUUUUUAAAUUUUCAUAUCUUGAUAUGAAAAUUUAUGUGUUUUUUUAUAGGUUACUAGUUCCACGGUCAUGCUAGAACGUCUCUGUGGUAAAUUAAGCCUCAUCCCAUGAGCGGCAGGCAAUUAUGUCAGAUAAAUUUUCAUAUAGGAUUUAUAGGCACUUUGUAAUCUUCUAAAUUUUGUGUCUUCCUUUUUGUUGGGAACAAAUUUUUGGAGGUCUAUGCUGAUGAAUACAACAUGAAAAUUUAUGUUGAUGCUCAUACAUUACUAGGUACAAGGUCAUGGAAGAACUUCAUUGUGGUUUAUCAAGUCAAAAUCCAUGGGCAGCAAUCACAUUAGGUAUCUUUAUUAGUUGUUAGAGGAAUGCUAUAACAAGUUUGUCAGCUUCAUUCCUUUUCUCUCAUGAUACAUUUUUACUGUUUAACCAGGUUUGUUAUGUUUCACAGAGGAACCACCACUUUUAUUUUGUUUGAAGAACAGAAUCUUCAGCUGUAGACUCAUUACGAAACACUUUCAUGAGUAUUUGGGUACUGAACAUCUUUUCGGGAAACUGUAGUCUACAUAUGAAACAUCAAAAAACUCAAAGCAUAUAGGGUGCUCAAUGUGAAGCUACACACGUCUAUCCUCUGUCUUUGCAUGAACCUAUUUGCCUUUUUAUUCUCCAUGUAAGUUUCUGCAAUUUUAUUUGACGAAUAAAGUCUGAUAUCUACUUUCAUAGGGACUUUGUAUUUAACUUUCUAUGAAAUUGUGAACUGUUAGAAUGUAACCUGUUUUAUUCCCUUUUACUUUCAAUGAUUUACUAUCUCACAGUAUUAAUGUCUGUGCCUCCCCUCUCCCAUCCGGUACGAAAUAAGAAGAAUCUUAGUAUUUGUCAUAUCUAGUCAGGUGAUAUGAUGAAGAUAAUGGAAGUAAUGGAUGGUCGGUGUGUUAUGAAUGGGCCUAGACCAGUAUUGACAAAGCAGCCCAAAGCCGAAUUAAAAGGGCUAUGUGUGGGAUCCGGGUUGAUAAAUAGAGACUUGGGAGAGCAAAAUAGUUUUAUGCAAAUUAUGUGAAGCUUUGGCUUUCUGAUCCUCUCAUCUCCUUUCUAUGGUCUAGAAUCUCAUCCCCUUCUAGUUACCCUCUUCUAUGUUAUCUAUCUAUAAUUAGUGUGUUGUUACUUUGUUGUGGGUAUUAUACAUUGUAACUUGUAUUCCGUAAUAACAAUAUAUAUAUCAGUGUUUGUGUUGAAAAUUGAGUUUGUUACAUUGGUGCUUUCAUCCAGAGGUUUCUCAUGGAGGACCAAAGACUCAAGGCUCUCAUCAAUGAAUCCAUUAAGGAGGCAAAAGAGUCAUUUUCCAAAGAUAUUGCAGACAUUCGCCAUAUGUUACAGGAGGUUACCCGAAAGUUCGUUCCGGCAGGGCCUCACAUUCGAGAUCCAACAAUGGAGGUUGCUCGUCCUCAUCACGGGAAAGGCACUCUUGAAUCCCCCACACUCCGUCAUAGGCCAGCUCCGGUGGAACUAGGACGAUUUCGUGGUGAAAAUCCAGAGGCGUGGAUUUUCCAAGCUGAAUGCUAUUUUGAUUUUUACGGAAUCGUAGAAACGCACAAGCUAACCUUGGCAUCCUUUUAUCUCAACGGUGAAGCUUUGGAAUGGUAUCAAUGGUUGUUUUGCAACAAACAACUGGCUGGCUGGGACCAUUUUGUGGACAAAUUGCUGAUUCGUUUUCGCUCCCGUACUAGGGACAAACAACGCGAGUUCUUACCCAUUCCCAGAAACAAGAAUCAUAGGGCAGUGGAGUACUCUCAGGCGGUUAGUCCAUCGUUGGUUAAUAUUGAGACUUUGGGUCCCAUGUUGGACUCCAAAUAUGACUUGAAGAACAACCCAAACGGCUAUGCCUGCAAGGUGUUCGCUGAAAUGCCCGAUAAGAAAAUUGACAUGGAAGUUGAACAUCCAGUGAUAACUGAUUCAACAAAUCUGGCAUCCCAUAUGUUUGAUGAAAAUUUUCAAACAGUUUCUGCAUUUUAAGGGAGAGUACGGUGAGCUUAUCAUGUUUGAUAAUAAUUGUCUUGCACUACCUUGUUUGCCUUCGAUUUUUAGUCGCACCCAACUUAUGGGAAGAUCUAUAUUUGAUUACUUCAAGGAAUUCGGUCAUGCUAACCUCCCAUUAUCGUUGUAUCAAUUUCCACUUGAUCAUUUCGGGUUCAGCUUUCCAUUUGAUCCUGGUUCUAGUUUGAAAGUUGGAGUCGCGCUGUGAUAAUUUGGAGCAAUGUACUGCUCAUCGGUAAAGUUGCAAGAGAACUGCCUACACCUGCUUCUAACUUGCUGAUGUUAGUAUGUAUAGCUUCCUUAAUAGCUCCAAUGAGAAUCCUCACAAUGAUAUCAAAUUGGUACUACUUGAACCUUGAGGACAAGGUUCUUAUUGGGGCUGAAGGUAUUGUUAUGAAUGGGCCUAGACCAGUAUUGACAAAGCAGCCCAAAGCCGAAUUAAAAGGGCUAUGUGUGGGAUCCGGGUUGAUAAAUAGAGACUUGGGAGAGCAAAAUAGUUUUAUGCAAAUUAUGUGAAGCUUUGGCUUUCUGAUCCUCUCAUCUCCUUUCUAUGGUCUAGAAUCUCAUCCCCUUCUAGUUACCCUCUUCUAUGUUAUCUAUCUAUAAUUAGUGUGUUGUUACUUUGUUGUGGGUAUUAUACAUUGUAACUUGUAUUCCGUAAUAACAAUAUAUAUAUCAGUGUUUGUGUUGAAAAUUGAGUUUGUUACACGGUGCCAUUGAAAUCUGCUUAAUGCUUAUGAGGUAUUCAUGAGCCGGUGACUGUGGUUGCAUCUUGCACGAAGCUUGAAAGUUCAAGGUAAGUUUUUUAGAUCAAUACUUUUUUCUCCCAAAUGCUACUUUUGAAUCAUCAUACUUAUCUAUGGAACAAUGUCAAGUCUUAUAUAUGGUAGAAAUCUAUAUAAGUUUCUUAAUAGACUCAUAAAAAACUAUCUUUAUUUUCAUGCUUUAUCAGUAGAAACUUUAUGGAUAUUUGACACACUUCUCGUUACUUUCACUUCACAGGAUAAUUUCUCCGUUGAUAUUGGAAAGUGAAUUGGAAAUAUUAUUUCCCUGUAUGUGGAAGAUCCGAAAAGGAUUCAUGAAUGAUUAAGUUUGUUGCACAUGAAUCAUGAUAAUCAGUAGAGGCUUUUUGCGUAUGUUGAAUUAAUCAUUAAAGGUCACAGACAUGAAUAAGAUUUGCGAAAAUGCAGUCUAGGAAAUGAAGUUUUUACUCAUGUUAGAUUUAAGCAGUAUAUCUUAUGAAAGAUUGAGUAUUAUUUAUUUGUCUUUUCCACUGUAUCACAAAGAAAAGAGAGGUUAAGUGAUCGAAUAACCCUUUUAUAAUUAAUGAUAAUUAUAUUAUUUUAAAUAAAAAAUUUGAUCCAAUAAAUAUUUUAUCUAAUUUUCUCAAAAAAAAAAAAAAAGAGUCCAGUGGAAUACUUGUCUUUGAUAGAAUGUGACACAUUAGGAAAUCCAGCCAAACUUGGUCAAAAUUGUGUAUUAUUGCCGGAAAACAGAACUGAAAAAUAGUAUUUUCUCCGUCCUUGAUUUAUACAUUGUCGUGUUUUAUAAUUUUUUUGAAAUAACAUAAAGAUUUCAUGUCUAAAUUUAUAGUUAAAAUAAAAAUAUUUGAUUCUCAAAAUUCAAAUAACGAGAAAGAGGGAGUACUAAGAAAAACAUGUCCACAGAACAAUGUGUUUGAUUCCUUCAAAUAAGUACUACUAUUCCUUCAUGGGAUUUUUUUUAAAGUUCGAAAUAAAAAGAAUUUACUAAAUUUAGACAAGUCAUUGAAUAAUAAAUGAGCGGGACAUUAACUAAAGAUUUCUUUAAUUAAGAUGAGUUAAACAAUUAGCCUUAGUCCACCUCGCAUUAAACUCUUACCAACUUUUUAUGGUUGUUUGCUUUCUUAGUGAUUGUCUUUAUCAAAUAAAAGUAUAAAAUCGGUUUAAUUUUUUUUUAUCACGACUAUCCAUAGCAUAUGAAGUAAAAAAAUAAUAAUUUAAAAAUCAAUAAUAUUUCUUAUUAAUUUGGGUACCAUAUUUCAAUAAUGUUUUGACUAAGCAUAUUUAAUAUUAAAAAAUAAAGGAAAGAGAGAGGGGGAGAAAUGAUAAGUACCUGAAACUGAAGAUGGCAGAGAAGAAGACUCAAUAAAUUGUGAACAUUUUCACCGAAUGAAAUAGGAAAAAAGACUUAUUUAUAAUAAGAUGUUAGGAGCAGUAAAAAAACCUCUCUCUAUUAUAAGAUGUUAGAAUUGGUAGAAAAGAUUCAAUUUAUUAUGAGAUGUUUUUACUUUUUCAAACAAAAAAUAAUAGAAAUUUUACUAUUUAAUAUUUAAUAAAUUGGACUAAGAGUUGUUAAAUUAAAAUUAGUAUAUGUAAAAUAUUGAUUUGAAUCAUUUUAGAUUGUAAUAUUUUAUCUGAGCAAAUUAAAAAUAUUACAUUUUAAAAGUCCAAUUAGUGUAUUGUUCCUUAAUUAAAUCUAUCCCCCCCCCCCGUCCCUCCUUACCCCGCUUCCCCUUCCCUUUCUCCAUCCCCAUAAUUAAUUCUAUAUGAACAUAGAUAAUAAAUAUCAUAAUGAAUAUCAAAUAAUUUUAAUGUUUCAUAUAUAUUUCUCUUUAUUACAUUAUUUGUUGUUUAAAAUUAUAGUAUCAGUAUUGAUUUUUAUUAACUUAUCAUUUGACUUAAUAUAAUUAUCAAGCGCUCUUCUUGUAGAUAUUAAACAAAUCUGUUUAUUUUUUUUACUUGUGAGUUUUAAAUUUUAUUGUUCACAUUCCUUUAAUUCAAUAUUUAUGGAUAAUAAUAUGUAUAUUAUCUAACUAAUUUAUUAUACUCUCAAAAGUAGUUCAAAAUAUUUUUCACACACAUUUUUCGCUAACAUUAUAUAUUAGCUUUAUGCCUUUAUCUUAAAACUGUCAAGUGGCUUUUAGCUUGCCACUUGACUUAACCACAUUGCAAACUACUUUGUUAUAUGUAAAUAUAUAUAUAGAUCUAGAUGAUAAUUGUGCGCUUAAUGAUUUAUACAAACAUUCAAAGAGACUGAAACGUUGCCAGAUUAAAAAAUUAGGAAAAACUACAAAAUAUAGCAAACAUCAAUUUAUAUUAUAUGUAUAUAGCUACAAUUUAUUUUUUUAACCUAUAUGGAUAUACUUACAUAUUAAUUAGCAAACUUAAUUAACCAUGAAUUGUAAGCUUUUUUUUAAAAAAAAAUUAUAUGUAUUUAAAUAAUUAUUACUAAAUAGGAAAGAUAUCACUACAUAAAUGCAAUAUAUACGUUUUAUGGUGCUAUGUUGUCCAUACUUACCUUAUUCAACAUUUUUCUCUUUCAAUAUACAUGUAUCAACGCUUUUUUUAUUAUUUUUCCUCUAAUUUCCUUCUAAUUCAAGAUCCUUUGCAUGAUUGUAUGAACGAUUUUUGUGAUUCAUCUUCGUUGGGUAUAUUCUAAUUAAUUGCAUUUUUUUCUCCUUUAUAUGAAGUUUAUAUUUAUACACAUAUAUAUGUUUCUCGAUUUUCGUAGGGUUUUAUUUUAAGAAGUUAUUUUCACCAGCAUUCAAAUAUACAAUUAAAUUCUGUUAAAAUUCACUUUGAUACAAAUGAUGUAAUACAUUUCGUUCUCUUGAUACACGCAUAUAAUUGUAUUUGAAUGUUGAACACAAUGGAAUACAUAUACAUUUGAAUACUUGUUAUUUUUUAUGAAUUGUCCAAUUAAAAUACAAGUGCAUUUGGAUACAUAAAUACAUUACAUAAAUUUGAAUGUAUACAUAUACAACACAUCUAUUUUUUUAUUGAGUGAAAUACAUAUACAUUUGGAUAAUUAUAUUGUAGUAUAGUUCUUUGACAUUUUUUCUAGAUUGUCCAAUUAUAUUGAUAUAUUAACACAAUUGUAUUGAGCAAUCUUAGGGAUACAAUAUACUUAUCAUGAAGUUCACGUAUUUGAAAUCGAAACAAACAAGAUUCAUUCACUAUUACAAUAAAUCAAUUUAACUAAAGAAAUUUAUGUGAAAUAUAUUUAUGCUUGAACAAGAACAACAUCAAGAAAGAAAAUAUGUGUACGAUGUAUCCAAAUUUUUUUAAAACUAAUUGGAAUCCUAGAGUAUAUGCAUUGACUAGGUAAUCAAAUAUGUGAAUAAAUUGUAUUCUCUUGAUUACACACAUAUAAUUGUAUUUGAAUGUUGAACAUAGUGGAAUACAUAUACAUUUGAAUACUUGUUAUUUUUUCAUGGAUUGUCCAAUUAGAAAUACAAGUGCAUUAGGAUACAUAAAUACAUUACAUAGAUUUGAAUGUAUACGUAUACAACACAUAUUUUUUUUUUUGCAUAGAGUGAAAUACAUAUACAUUUGGCUAAUCAUAUUUGUAUUAUAGUUCAUUGUCAUUUUUUUUCUAGAUUGUCCAAUUGUAUUGAUAUAUCAACACAAUUGUAUUGAGCAAUCUUAGGGAUACAAUUAUGCUUAUUGUGUAUUUGAAACCAAAACAAACAAGAUUCAUUCACAAUUACAAUAAAUCAAUUUAACUAAAGAAAAUGUAAGUGAAAUACCUUUACGCUUGAACAAGAACAAUAGCGACAAAUGAAAAAUUUGUAUACGAUGUAUCCAAUUUUUUUAAAAAAGUAAUUGGAAUCCGAGAGUAUACACAUUGACUAUGUAAUCAUUAGUUGUUAAUGUAAUAAUGGGAAGUUGAGAAUUUCAAGCAACAUAAUUAAAGGGAUUCAGUUACCUUAUUUAAUUCACUAUAAUUCUAAUUAUAUCACUGUAUAAUUUAAAAAAAAAAAACAAAUACAGCUAGAUAUUAAUAUAAAAUGUAGUUAUUUUUAGUAAAUGAUAUACUUAUAACUAUUGAACUUCAAUAACCCUAUAAAUAUAGUCAUUUAUGUAAGUUGCUCUUAAAAUUAACUGGUCUAUUAGUUAAAUGAAGGUUUUAUAUGAAUAAUUUAAUGGGCAAAUUACAGAAAUCACAUACUUUUAAGGCAAAAUUAUAAUUUAUUCCUUAAAAGUUUAUAAUUACAGAAAUCCUUCAAACGGAUACAAUAAUAUAAGCGCUGAUACAUUAAUCUGAUGCGCGAGAUACAUUAAUCGUUAAGUAAGAUACAUUACAUUUUAUACAUGAUACACUAAUCUAAUGCGCGAGAUACGAUAAUAUAAACGCUGAUACAUUAAUCUGAUGCGCGAGAUACACUAAUCUGAUGUGCGAAAAUAAGGAAUUUUGGAGAUUUGUAAAACUUAUAGGGGAUAAUGAUAAUAAGUAAACUAAAAGUUGAAUUUUCUGUAAUUUUCCCUAAUUUAAUUGAUUCAGUUGGCAAGCUAAUAUACUUUGCAAGGGGUGGAAUAGAAGAAUUUAAAUUGAGGAGUACUCCCUCCGUUCCACAAAGAAUGACCUCCUUUCCUUUUUAGUCAGUUUCAAAAAGAAUGACCUCUUUCCUUUUUUGGUAACAUUUUACUUUUUGCUUUCCGCAUGACAUGUUUAAAACCACAAGAUUCAGGGCAAUUUUGUACAUUUGACAUAACUUUAAUUUAGGACCACAAGAUUCAAAAGUCUUCUUUAUUUACUUAAACUCCGUGCCAAGUCAAACCAGGUCAUUCUUUAUGAACGGAGGGAGUAAUAGAGAAAAUCAUAUGAAUCAGAAGACCAUGAAGCUGCCACUUUUUGCUCUGCUCGAACUCAAAACUUUAGGGUCGAUGGUGAGGGAUGCUUACAAAAUGACUGUGAGAUGAAUGAUGAGUUGAAGGGUGUAUUUGGUAUGAAGGAAAAUGUUUUCCAAUUUUCUCAUGUUUGGUUGGGUUAAAUGUUUUGGAAAAUGUUUUCCAAAUCAACUCAUUUUCCUCAAAUUUAAAGAAAAUGACUUUCCUUCAAAACUUAAGGAAAACAUUUUCCAAAACUCUCUUCCAACUUCCAAUUAAAAAAAAUUGUUGAAAAAAUCAAUUUAUUUUGUCUCUACACUCAAACCAACCCCCCAACCACCCCCCCCNNNNNNNNNNNNNNNNNNNNNNNNNNNNNNNNNNNNNNNNNNNNNNNNNNNNNNNNNNNNNNNNNNNNNNNNNNNNNNNNNNNNNNNNNNNNNNNNNNNNNNNNNNNNNNNNNNNNNNNNNNNNNNNNNNNNNNNNNNNNNNNNNNNNNNNNNNNNNNNNNNNNNNNNNNNNNNNNNNNNNNNNNNNNNNNNNNNNNNNNNNNNNNNNNNNNNNNNNNNNNNNNNNNNNNNNNNNNNNNNNNNNNNNNNNNNNNNNNNNNNNNNNNNNNNNNNNNNNNNNNNNNNNNNNNNNNNNNNNNNNNNNNNNNNNNNNNNNNNNNNNNNNNNNNNNNNNNNNNNNNNNNNNNNNNNNNNNNNNNNNNNNNNNNNNNNNNNNNNNNNNNNNNNNNNNNNNNNNNNNNNNNNNNNNNNNNNNNNNNNNNNNNNNNNNNNNNNNNNNNNNNNNNNNNNNNNNNNNNNNNNNNNNNNNNNNNNNNNNNNNNNNNNNNNNNNNNNNNNNNNNNNNNNNNNNNNNNNNNNNNNNNNNNNNNNNNNNNNNNNNNNNNNNNNNNNNNNNNNNNNNNNNNNNNNNNNNNNNNNNNNNNNNNNNNNNNNNACCCACGCCCUACCAGCCCCCCACCCCCCAAAAAAAAUUUAAGUUUUUUUUAAAAAAAUAUUUUUAACUUCAAAAUUUUAAUUUUUCACCCCUACCUUUGACCCCCACUCCCUACCAGCCCCCACCCCAAAAAAAAUUAAGUUUGUUUUUAAAAAAUAUUUUCAAUUUCAAAAAUCAUUUCUACUCUAGUAAAAUAAAAGAAUUUUUUCAAAACAUUUUUCAUUCAUAAAUCAAACACAAAAAAUCUUUUUCGAAAAAUAUUUUCUACUCACCAAUCAAACAUGAGAAAAUAAGUUAAAAAUCAACUUGUUUUCCAAGAAAACAUUUUCCUUCGUACCAAACACACCCGAAAUUGCAGAAAUUCUACAAUUUGCAAUUUUUUAGUAAUGAGAUGCUUCCCAUUGAUGGUAUUCUGCAGCUGGGAUUCUGUGCCCUAACAAUAAUUGAUUUUGGAUUCCAUGCUCUUCCUCAUACUCUUGCCAAUCUGGAAUUCUUACAUGUUAUGCCCAAAUUGCUGUGUCAUUCCAGUUGGGCAUUCAGUUUUGGACCGGUAUUAUUUUCCCUCUCCCAAUUCUCUUUCUCUCUCAUUCUCUAACCCUAGCUAAUUCUGCCAUUUAUGGAGUUGUACUAUUUCCCUAUCAUUCUAAGGCAUUGCAAUUUGAAUUUCGCACCCAAACACAUUUGUGAUUUCAGCUCUCCAGAUCAUAUGGAUUUUGUGCAAAACAGAUAAUGCAGUUUGAGAUAUUGAGCAUUUUACUUAGCAAUUGGUACAACAAGAGCCUUAAUACUGCUUAUAGAAGAGCCCUAAAAUGCUUUUUUCUUUUUGGAGGAAGUUUGGCUAAGUUUAUAACCUGGUUAAAUUGGCUUUAUUUUGACAAAGUUUUAUUAUUUUAUCCUUUUUUUAAUUCUCCGAAAAUCUUUACUAAAACAAAACGCCUUCAAAGUUACAGGAUUGUUUCUUAGAGAGAUAUUUGUGUCAUUGGAGUACUGAAUGCCACUCAUUUUUUUUUGAAUUAUUGUAUAUGAAUUUUAGUGGUCCAUAAACAACUAGCAAAAGAAGACUUUGGUGCAAAGGAAGAAGACAAAUUUGAGAAGGAGCAAACGCAACAAUUGCCGACCCUGUAAUUGGUGCUACUGUUCAGGUUGUGCUUGAGAAACUGCUUUCUCUCACCAUUGAGGAGGCCAGAAGUUUAAGGAACUGCAAGAAAAAUCUCAGAAUGCUGACAAAAUAUGUAUCCAUCGAUGCACAGGCUGUGGAACAAUGGCUCAAGAUGCUUGAGAGAAUUGCUUAAGAUGCUGAAAAUGUGUUUGACAAAUUCACAUAUGAAUCUCUCAAAGCACAAGUGAUGAGCAUCCAAAACAGCCCAAUGAGAAAGGUCAGUGGUUUCUUUUCUCAUACUGCUUUUAAGAGCAAAAUGACUCGAAAAAUAAAAAAACAUCAAUGAAGAGUUGACGUCUAUCAAUCAGUUAGCCAAAGACCUUGGUCUCCAAUCACUGAUAGUUCCGUCUCAGAAAAUAUUACCUAUUUGAGAAAUAGAUUCCUUAGUAGUUGCUUCGGAUGUCGUAGAGAUAACGAUGUUGCUGAAAUUAAGGAGAAGAUGUUGAACAUGAGAAAGGAAGUUGUUCUGUGCACCAUUCCCAUAGUGGGCAUGGGAGGUUUAGGGAAAACUAGUAUUUGCUAAGAGAAUUUUCAAUGAUGAAGAGAUAGAAAAACACUUUGAAAAGAGAGUUCGGAUGGGUCUACCUGAAAUGUCAGAGACUAAGAGCUUUCUUGAAUAGAUCCCCGAAACAUUGACAGAGAGGAAACUUGAGGUCUCUUGGUAUCACUUUUCUUCAGCCUCACAAGUUCCAACUGGAUUAUGCCAGAACAUAUACCAGAUCUUCUAAGUUGUUGGAUCAGGAGAGGGGUAGCAAGUCCCAGAAAAGAUGGCGGAGAGCAAUUCCUUUGUGUAUUUGGUGAACAAUAUGGAAGAAAAGAAAAGGGAGGUGUUUUGAGGGCAGGUCUAAUACUCUGCAAAAGAUUAAAUGGAAUUGCAUCGUAGAUUUUCACUUUUGGUGUAAACUAGCAAAUGUAGAAUAUGUUCAAUCGGUAGAUUUUUUAGGCUCUUUGUAAUUAGCCUUAGUUAAUAGUUAUAACUCGUUGUUGAUAACUUUUUGGAGGUCUCCAGCAUAUCCUUAAUGCUGAGGAAUACAAAUUACCAGUUUUCAAAAAAAUUGAUGAUAGGAGUGUUUAUUGCAUUCUCGUGAUUCUGAUUAAAUUCCACCUAGUUUCCCCCUUUCUUUUGUUGUAUUAAUGUCUGACCCUUCCUCUCUUCCAACCUGUACUAAAGAAGAAGAAACUCAAUAGUUGUUAUAUCUAUUCAGGUUGUAUCGUGAAGAUAAUAAAGGGUAUACAUGGGAGGUGCCCUUUUUCGAAUUCUGUUCAUGAGUUGCAGCUCAAAUAAAUUCUCACUGAUUAUUUUUAUGAAUUCAGUGGUGUUUUAAAUUUUUCAUAAGCAUCCCCUUUUCAUCUUUGGUGGUAACUAUUUUUGUUCACUAGCUUGAUGAAGGAUCUAAGGUGAUAGUUGGUGAAAAUGUAUUAUUCACUUGCUGUAAUAACAUGAUUUCUAAUCUCGGGGUGCUGGAACAUACAUGUUUCAAAUCGAUGAUGAGCAUGUUAUAGAUGCCACAAGGGCUGGAAGCAUUGCACAUUCAAUCAAUUGUUUUUUGAAGAACGUAAAAUCCUUCUUACCUAGUCCCUUUUCCUUUGAUGGUUUUUUUCUCUUUGGGUAAAUUGUUGUUUCCACAAUAGCACCUGCAUUACAUGAACAAAGAUGAUGUGAGGCUCAUUCUCUUGGGGUAAUGUGCUGUUUUGCGCCUGAAAACAGACUUGUGGAACUGGUCUUGUUGUUUGGAAUGGAAACUCAUCAGGCUUGUGUCUACGAGGACUGAGGAACUUGAUUUCUUAAGCAUUAUUCAAAAUCAUAAUGGAAAGUUUGCCGAAUUUUUUAGUAAUUUGGUAAUGUUUUCCUUUGUUGGUUCUAAACUGCCUUUUUUUCAACAAACAACUUCACUAUGUUAAUACAUAAUAGGUCUCAGACAAUAACAUGUAUUAGCAGGUAAUCAGAUUUAACUUUUUCAGAUUAACAUAACCCUCAUACUAUAAUUCUAUUCAGAGCGUCAGUAAUGAGAAGGGAAAUAGAUAAAUUAGCUAAACAGUUCUAAACUGCCCAAUAUAUGUCAACUAUUAAUUGGAAAGUGACUGCCAUUCAUUAGAAAUAAAAACAACACAGAACCACCACCCAAAAAUAUUUAUUUAAAGGAUGAUUAGCUAUUAUUCCACAAAAGAAUUCUUUAUUCAAAUUAUUGUCUAUGAAUUAUUCUCUUUCUUGUAGAGGCUGGCAAACAACUAUCAAAAGAAUACUUCUGCAAGAAAUUUGAGAAGAUUUUGGUGUAUAGAGGAAGAAAACAACUUUGUAAAGAGCAUUGCAAUGAUGGCCGAUCUUGUAAUUGGUGCUACUGUUAAAGUUGUGCUUGAUAAACUGCUUUCUCUCACUAUUGAGGAGGCUAAAAUUUUAAGGAACUACAAGAAAAAUCACAGAAUGCUGACAAAAUAUGUAUCCAUGAUCAAGAUCUCAUUCAUGAUGCUGAAAAACGACAAGUUGAUGAUCAGGCUGUUGAACAAUGGCUCAAGAUGCUUGAGAGAGCUGCUGAAGAUGCUGAAAACGUGUUUGAUGAAUUCAGAUAUGAAUCUCUCAAAGCACAUGUGAUGAACAUCCGAACCAAACUAAUGGAAAAGGUCAGCAACUUCUUUUCUCAUACUGCUUAUAAGUACAAAAUGUCUCGAAAAAUCAACAACAUCAAUGAAGAGUUGAGGGCUAUCAAUCAGUUAGCCAAUGACCUUGGUCUCAAAUCACUGAUGGUUCCUUCUCGGAAAAUACUUCCGAUUCGAGAAACAGAUUCCGUAGUUGUUGCUUCGGAUGUUGUUGGUAGAGACAAAGAUGUUGCUGAAAUAAAAGAGAAGAUUUUGAACAUGAGAAAUGAUGUUGUUCUGUGCACCAUUCCCAUAGUGGGUAUGGGGGGUUUAGGGAAAACAACUGUGGCUAAGAGAAUUUUCAAUGACCAACACAUCAAGCAGCAGUUCGAAAAGAGAGUUUGGUUGUGCCUACCUGAAAUGUCAGAAACUAAGAGCUUUCUUGAAUUGAUCCUCGAAUCACUGACAAAGAGGAAAGGUGAGGUCCAAAGCAGAGAUAUAAUAGUCAAGACGCUACAAGAUGCACUGGGACAAAAAAAGUAUUUGCUUGUCCUGGAUGAUUUGUGGUGUGUUGACUCUACAUCGUGGCAUGAGUUCAUGGACACCUUGAAAGGAAUCAAUACAUCCAGAGGAAUCUGCAUUCUCGUGACUACUCGUAUCAAACAAGUGGCAUCCACAAUAGCAGUAGAUCUUCAUAUGUUGGGGAAAUUAACAGACUAUCAUUGUUGGUCCAUUUUCAAACAAAGAGCGUUUGUUGGUGGGGAAGUUCUGGAGGAAAUACUGAGCAUGGAAAACAAGAUUGUUGAAAUGUGUCAAGGUCUACCGUUGGCUGCAAGUGUGUUGGGAGGCCUCUUAUUCAACAAGGAUAAACAUGACUGGCAAGCAAUUCUUGAUGGCAACCCCCUUGUUGUAGGGGAAGAUGAUCUUCGGGAAAAUAGCAUAAAGAAGAUCCUAAAACUAAGCUAUGAUUAUCUAUCAUCUCCACAUCUGAAGAAAUGUUUUGGUUACUUUGCAAUGUUUCCAAAAGAUUUUGAGUUUGAGAAGGACCAACUAAUCCAACUCUGGAUGGCUGAAGGGUUUCUUUGUCCAUGUCAAGAGACCACUGUGAUGGAAGACGUCGGGAACAAGUUUUUCCAACUCUUGUUGCAAUAUUCUUUGUCGCAAGAUGUUAAGCUAGAUGAGCUCAACAAUAUAACACUGUAAGAUGCAUGAUCUUGUGCAUGAUUUGGCUGGAGAUAUUUUAAAGUCUAAACUAUUUGAUCAAAAAAGUGUAGGAGGAGAAAAUCUUUCUCAAGUCCAAUACUUUGGAUGGGACUCACCAAGUGAUAAAAUAGAUAAGAUAAACAAGUCAGGACAUUUGUGCACAUUUUUCUGGAAAAGAAAUAUAUCUGAAGAUAUGUUGUUGAGCUUUCAGUUCUUGAGAGUUAUAAAUUUGUCCAGGUCAGGCAUUGAGGUAUUGUCAGCCAAAAUCGGCAAGCUAAUAUACUUGAGAUAUCUUGAUCUCUCCAGCACUGAGGUCAAAGACUUGCCCAACUCCGUUUGCAAGCUCUACAAUUUGCAAACAUUUAGAGCCAAUGGUUGUUCUUCACCGAGGAAGCUCCCAGAAGAAAUAGCAAAUAUGAUAAGUUUGAGACACAUACAUUACCAAUCUGAAAUUGAUUAUCAGUUUCAGAUGCCACUUAAUAUGGGGCAAUUGAUCAGUCUUCAGACGCUACAAUUUUUCUAUGUAGGUGUAGAGAAAGGUCGUCAAAUAGAAGAAUUAGGUCGUUUGAAAAACCUUAGAGGUGAAUUGACAAUCAAACGUCUACAAUUAGUCGGCAAUAAAGAAGAGGCUCAAACUGCAUAUUUACUGGAGAAACCAAAUAUCUACAAGCUGGUGUAUUUAUGGUCCCAUGAUGAAUCAGAAGGCUGUGAGAUCAAUGAUGAGCAUGUGUUGGAUGGUCUUCAACCACAUCCUAACUUGAAAACCUUUGUAGUGGAGAACUAUUGGGGGACUAUAUUUCCUCUUGGUUCAAUGAAGAAUUGAUGCCAAAUUUGGUCAUGUUGAAAUUAAGUGGUUGCAAGAGGUGCAAAGAUAAUCUAUCGCUUGGUCAACUGAAGUUCCUUCGGCAUCUUGAGCUGAUAGGAUUCCUUGAAUUGGAAUGCAUUGGACCUACAUUUUAUGGUGUUGAUAAUGGAUCAAGCAGCAAUAAUGGCAAAAUUCAAGUGUUCCCGUCAUUGAAAGAACUAGUAUUGAAGGAUAUGCAUAGCCUAAUAGAGUGGAAGGGAGAUGAAGUUGGAGUAAGAAAUGUUUCCUGGGCUUGAGAAGUUGACAAUUACAGAGUGUUCACUGUUAAAAAGUGCUCCAACUCAAUUGGAAACCCUGCGUGAAUUAGAAAUUGAAAGAGUUGACAGUGAAAUGCCAUUGUUGAACUUGUGCAGCAACUUAACAUGUCUUGUGGAUCUCGAUGUCAGUGAUGUGAAAGAGCUCACUUGUCUACCUGAUGAGAUGCUACGCAAGAACGUUUCUCUUCAACGCCUGUGGAUCUCAGAUUGCAGAAAGUUUUGUGAAUUGCCACAGAGCUUGUACAAUCUCCAUUCCCUUGAGAGCUUACGAAUAUCCUUCUGCCCCAAUUUUAGUUCUUUUCCUGUUCCCAGUGGAGAGAAUUAUUUAACUUCCCUCCGAAGGCUUCACUUACUUUAUUGUGAUGGAUUGACCAGUUUACCAAAUGGAAUGCUAGAACAAUGCCGGUCUCUAAAGAUUUUGAGGGUCAGCAACUGUAAGAACUUGGUUUCCUUCCCUUUACAUGUGUGGGAAGUACCUUCACUUUCCAUUUUGGAUAUGUCAAAUUGUCCCAAAUUGAUUAGUCUACCCACAGGAGGCCUUCACCAUCUCACUGGGUUAUGGGAUUUGAAAAUUGGUCCUUUCUCAGAGAUUGUGGAUUUUGAGGCAUUCCAAUUGAUUUUUAAUGGCAUUCAGCCGCUAUUGUCCCUUCAUACGUUGUGGGUGUACGGACAUGGGCACUGGGAUUCUCUUCCCUAUCAGCUUAUGCAACUCUCUUCCCUAAUUGAGAUCAGAUUAAGUGAUUUCGGUAUCGAUGAUCUUCCUCAUAGUCUUUGCAAUCUUACUUCUCUUGAAACAUUACAUCUAGUGGGGUGCAAACGGCUACAACAUGUGGACUUCAGAGAUGCCAUGCCCAAAUUACAUUAUCUUGAGAUCUGUGGUUGUCCAUUGUUAGAAGCUCUGUCGGAUGGGCUCAGCAACCCUGUUUGUUUGGAAAUGUUAAUUUUUUGGAACUGCGAAAUACUGGAGCGUCUGCCAUCCAGAGAUGUCAUGCGAAGCCUCACGAAAUUACAGUUCCUGAAAAUUAAAGACUGCCCACAGUUAGAAGAAAGUUGCACCAAUUGGAGUAGCCCAAACUCCCAGUGGUCCAACAUUUCCCAUAUUCCAAAAAUUAAAGUAGGUGGGAGGAUAUUCAGAACUUAACAAUUUCAAAUUUCAAAAUUCUAUUCCUGCUCAACACAAAUGAAGAACCCUAAUUUUUCCCUAUAAAUACUUACAUUUCAGAGCUUAUUUGGGAGGAUUUUUUUCAAAAUCUGGCAGCCCCUCACCUCUAAAAUUUUUAGUUAUUUCUCCUCUAAACCAUCUCUUCUAUUUUCGUAUUUUACCAUUUUCUUUGGCAUUCCAGUCGCAGCAAUAGUUUGUGUGUUCGUUUCGACCAUUAACGGUGGUCAUCAGAGUUAGUAAGUAGAUCUAAGAUCGAGACCGCAAGCCCCCGUUCACUACCCCGCAGCAGGUGAUCUUUGUCCCUUUACUUUUACUUCUAUUAUUGUCUCCGUGAAAAUGUUAUACCUAUUGUAAGAAAAACCAUGCGUCAAGUAUAAUACUCACUUAUUUUUAGCUAUCAUGAAAGUGAUGUUUAAAAAUUAUGUUUUUUUUUAUUUAGUUUGAGGCCUGGAGAGAUUUGAGUUCAUAUCUCCUUCACAUUUUAAUUUAAAGAAUGAUUUGUUUUGGAAGGGGUUGGUGAUAUGUAAUCUGUUUUUGGUUCAAAGUUUGGUAUUUAUUUGUAUCUCUAUGUGAUAAAUAGAUAUUGUUUUCGCUAUUCUUAUGUUUUAAGAUUAUUAUGUUGUGUUGAGAAUCAUGUCAUAGAUAUAUCUAUUUAUUUGUUUUAUAUGCAGAGAAAUUGAAUACAAACUUGCCGCAUUUAUUAGUAAUCUUGGUAUUUAGAAGCUGUGGCCUUAUUUAUGCUUAAACUCGCCAAUGAAUUUUAAAUUGAAUAAAAAGCAAAAUCCUUGUGCUAAAGUUUAUUGCUAUAUUUUUUUUAUUUUUUCUUUUUCUCAACAGUAUGUAUUAAAAUAUAUUUUGGAAAGAAAAGUUGCUUAUUGGAUUCAGAUUUGGUUCUAAUUUGACUUGUGAAUGCUACUUUUAUAAAUAUUAUAUAUAGUUCGAGCUUUAGUUUCUUCUUACAUUGUAUAUUUGAACCAAAAUGUGCUAUACAUUGUAACUCAAUAAUAUUACCUUAGAGACCUUUCUAUAAUUAACUAAAUAGGCCUUAGAUAUUAAAUAAAUAUAUUUGUUUAUAUAUUGUAUCCAGGUGAAGGUUUUGUUUCUUGUUUAAUAUGUUGUGAUGUGUUGUGAUGAUUGCUAUCCUUUAACGAGAAUGGUAUUGGUUUAAUUUAAAGGCUUUGAGAUAUUUAUUCACUGUAAGCAUGCUUGUAAAUAUUAGUUAAAGAAAUUUUAUUUUCUUCCUAUAGAAGAAUGUAUAAGUUAGUUGGGUGUUACAAUUUAUUUCAUACUUACUAUUAAGGUACUUGUGUUGGAAUUGAAUAAAUAGAAUGUAUAUUUGUUUCACCUAUUAGUUACCUGCAUGUCUAAUCCUUUUAUUUCUCUUAUUGUUGUACAUGUACACUUUGGGAGGAAAAAACGGAGUUUUGAUUAGGACUCUACCAAUUAUUGAGUCUCAUAGACUCAACAUUAUCCUCACACUUGCACAUGGAGUCUUCACUACAUCUUUUGACCAUUCGAAAUUGCAAGCAAAACAAGUGGUCCUAUCUUGGAGUCACUUAUGGCUACUUACAUUUUGCAUUAAUUGUUUACGUGUUUUUCUUUACGUGUUAUACUUGCUUGUGUGAUUUAGAUAUUUCUAGUUUGGAUUCAUGAUAAUUGACUUAAUAUAGAUGUUUGGAUUUGGGUUCCUUUAGUUAGAAACUAAACCUUAUUAGUUACUUUACCUUUUAUAAACUUCAUUUGGCAAACCUUUUUUAAAAAAUACUUCUUUUUGCACCAUUUUAAUCUCACUAGAUUUAUUAAGUUUGGUUCAAACUUGGCAAUGUCUUACAAAGAAAAUUUGUUGUUCUAAACUCUUAUUUUUCUAAAACUUUUUCUAACGGGAGCACCUUGUCAGUCAAUGAGCAAGUGUCUAUUUUUUUAAUUACUUAUUUUUAGCCAUGGAUUUUUAGCCACGGAUUUAAGAUUUUACUCUUUCUUAAAUCUUUUUCAUUCUAAUAAAUUGCAAAAGAGCUUUUAAAAUAAAAAAUGUUUUCCAACUUGGUUAUUCAAUCACUUAAUAUUUAGCACUCAUAUCUUUCUUUUAAAAUUAAUUAACCUAAGUUUGGUCGGUAAUCGUAUUUUUAACGAAUCUUAAAGGAUGCCUUACCCCCUUCCCUUUAGGAUAAUUAGAACCCUUACCUAGAAUCUUAAGUUUUAGUUUUACUUAGUUAAAUAUUUAGGUGUCCUAAUUCACCAUAAUUAAUUAGGUGGCGACUUCUUAAGUUAAUUAAUUUGGAAAUCACCAAUAUGUUGUACACGUUUUGACCUCGAGUUAAUGAGGUAUAGCACACACCCCCCUAAAGUUAGGUGUGGUGCAACAACGCCUAACUUGGAUAAACACCAAAAGAAGGCAGGCUUGGGUAGCGGCUUUGUGAGAGUGUCUGUAAUUUGAUCCCCGACCAUAACAAACUUAGGUUAAUAAUUAAGUUUUUAACAUCUGUUUGUUUCAUUUUUGUUGUGUGUUUUAAUGCCUAAAUGAUUUACUUAUCAUGCUUAUGUGAAUAUAAACUGCUUAUUUGUAGUAGCUUUAUAUAAAUUGUUUAUUUGUUACUGUUAUGAAACACCAAUAUUAUCACAAAAAAAUCUUGGCGUUUGCGAGACUUGAUAUCGUAAUUCAGUCAAUAGAUUGUGUACCCAAGUAAGUUCAGAGAGUGCAUUGGCUACCGAUUUGUAUUCUGCUUCAAUAGAGGACCGAGCAACUAAUUGUUGCUUUUUAGAGGACCAACAGAUCAGAUUUGGUCCCAAGAAGAGUAUGUAACCAGAUGUGGAUAUUCUGUCAGAGGGAUCACCUGCCCAAUCAGCAUCGGCGUACAUAUACAUAUUACUAUUAGAGUGGCUAGAGAUUUGUAGGCACGACGUUGAUGAUGCCUUGAGGUAUCGAAACACCUUUUUUACUGCUUUCCAAUGCUCCAGACUUGGGGAUUGCAUAAACUGUGAUAGUUUGUUAACUGCAAAGGCAAUAUCAGGACGCGUGAAUGAUAAGUAGUGCAAUUUACCAAUGGUGCGUUGAUACAAGGUUGUAUCGGCAUGAGGUGAACCAUCGGCUGCUUUGGGUGGUAAACUUGAGCACAUGGGUGUCGUAACUCCUUUACAGUUGGCCAUAUCCACAUCUCAAGUAUGUAUCUGGAUUGUGAAAAGACAAUCCCAUUUGGAACAUUUUGACUUCGAUCCCCAAAAGAUAGUUGAGUUCACCCAGGUUCUUUAGAGAGAACUUGUAAGCCAGAGAGUUGAUUACAUGUGUGACCAAGUUUGGGUAAUUCCCAGUAAUGAGGAUAUCAUCAACAUACAAUAGAAUAUACAUCGUGACAGCUUCAGAUGUAAAAAUAAACAGAGAAGCAUCUGAUUCAGACUUAACAAACCCAAUUUUAGUCAAGUGAAAUUUGAGAGCUUCAUACCAUGCACGAAGAGCUUGUUUUAGGCCAUAAAUGGCCUUUUGGAGAUGGCAGACAUGAUUGGGAAAAUCAGGGUUGACAUAGCCUUUCGGCUACGCCAUGAAUACUUGCUCCUGUAAGUUACCUUACAAAAAUGCAUUAUUUACGUCAAGCUGCUGCACUUUCCAAUUAUUUUGAACUGCAAUAGAAAGUACAAUUCUGAUGGUGGUUGGUUUGACAACCGGACUGAAAGUUUCAUGAAAGUCCAGUCCUGGACAUUGUGUGAAACCUUUUGCAACUAAUUGCGCCUUGUAGCUGUCAAUAGAACCAUCAUCUUUCCUUUUAAUGUGAAAUAACCACUUACAAUCAACAACAUUAUUUAUCGGGUCCCUAAGUACUAGUUCCCAAGUUUGGUUUUUCAUUAAGGCUUCAUAUUCCAGAUCCAUUGUAUUCUUCCAUUCAAUGUGCUUAACUGCUUGCUUAAAGGUAUUUGGAGUGGGAGAAAGGUAGGACAAGAAGCUGAAUUUUUUCUUUGGUGUGAAGAUAUUAUUUUUGGACCUUGUGACCACACCGGAUGGUGGAGGGACAGCAACUGGUGACAUAAUUGUUAGCUGUUGCGGUGGAUGUUGGUUGAUUGGUGGCCGACGGGAAUAAUAUAAUGGUUGAGAGGUGUUGUGGGCUGCUUCAUUAAAUAGUGAAUGAGGUUGGGAAGAGAUAAGAAUCAUACCUGAUGAAGUGGAGACUGCUGGUAGUUGCCUUUCAAUUAUGGACUCUGGAGUGUUUGAAUGAGAGGGAACUGUUAGGGUGAUAGGAAUAGGAGGCGGAAGAGUUGGAACAAGAUUGAAGUCCAAAUUUAAUUGGACUUCCGGAUGAGUAUCCUUACCGACUUGGGACUCUAUGAUUUCCCAUUAUAACGUGGAAAACAUAUUUUUCAAGUGUGAGAACAUUUGAGUGAAAGGAAAAAUAUCUUCACAAUAUUGAACAUCACGACUGACGAAAAUUUUUGAGUGCAUAGGAUUAAAGCAGAGGUGUGCAUGAUGAACAAUAGAAACUCCUAAGUAGACACACAGUGUAGAUCUAGGCUGAAAUUUAUUUUUUGUAUAUGGCUUAAGCCAUGGAUAACAUAGACAACAAAAAAUUUUCAGCGAAGAGUAUUUUGGCGGUUCGCCAAACAAUUUUUUAUAAGGAGAAUCAUUAUUCAAGUCAGGUGUAGGUAGUCUAUUUAUGAGAUAGACAGCAUGGUGACAGGCAAAUGACCAUAGUUUAGAUGAUAGUGAGGCUUCAUUGAGAAUAGUUCGAGUUGUUUUGACAAUGUGACGAUGUCGUCGUUCAGCAAUUGCAACUCAUUGGGGCGUGUAGGGUGGGGAGAUCAAAUGUUGAAUGCCAUGGCAUUGUAGGUACUGUUUAAGACUUGUGUAUUCAUCCCCUCCAUCAGUAUAAAGUGAGACAAUUUUGUGUUUGGAAAUUUUUUCCACUAAAGGAUGAAAGUUUGUAAAAAUUGAAGCGACUUCACUUUUGUUUUUGAUUGUAUACAACCAAGUGUAUUUGGUGUAAUGAUCAACAAAAAUGCAGUAAUACAACUUUUUAUCAAUGGAUAAAAUGGGUGAUGGACCCCAUAAAUCACUAAACAAAGUUUGAAGUGGUGCAUUACUAUUUAAAGUGAGUCGUUGAAAUGGCAAACGAUGAGCUUUAUUUGAUGAGCAUGAAUUACAAAAAUGAAACUUUUCUUUGGUGGAAAAGGGAAGUGAAAAUUUAUUCAGUACUAAGUCUAGGAUUUUCAGAUAACGGUGACCCAAGCGACGAUGCCACAAUUGACGAGAAACUUUGGUGGAGGUGAAGUUGGCGGAAGGUGACACAUGAUCCCUCUGUGGCCACUCAUAGAGUCCGUGUUUAUUCUAGCCUUGUACCAGCAGUCUCCGAGUUUUGAGAUCCUUCACAAGAAAUGAGUGUGGGAAAAAUUCGAUUGAGGUCAGAUUGUCAGUGCAAAACUUAGCAACAGAAAUAAGGUUCUUUUUGAUAGCUGGAGCACAAAGAGUGUUAGAGAGCAUGAAAUUGGAGUUAGAAGCCUUAAUUUGAGUAAAAUCAGUGUGAGUAAUAAGAAUAGUUUUACCGUCACCUAUGGACAUUUCCUCAUUGCCAGUGUAUUCUUCAAGAUUAUCUGACUCAAUUGUGACAUGAUGAGUUGCUCCAGAGUCGAUGAUCCAAGGAUUUGCAUUUGAGUGAUGAUUUGACACAAAGUUGACCUUAGCUUCAAAGUGGUUGUGCGAUUUUGAGCGACACACAUCAGCUGUGUGACCGAUCUUUUGGCAAAGUUGGCAUUUUACUGCUUGCCUGGGUAGUCUCCCAUUCUGUUGAUUUCCAGGGACCGCCUGUCGUGGAGCUUGUGGUCUUGAAGAUUGAUUUGGGAAGCGAUGAUUAUUUUUUGAUGUUGGGGCUGGAAGUUGGUCCUUUGUGCAACUGCAGCUGUAAUGAUAGAGGAUGACCUGUCAAUAUCUUGAUGUUUGAGAAAGAGUUCAUGGUCCGUGAGUUUCUGGAACAACUCCUCAAAGCUUAGGGCUGUUUCGCGCGCUCUUAUAGCGGCAGUGAUUUCACGGUACUCAUGACCUAGGCCACUCAAAAUCUUGACUGCUAGUUCAUCAUUAUCCACCGGAGAGCCCGUUACUUUGAAAGCAUUAGCAAUUGAUCUGAUCUCUUGUAGGUAAGUAGCAACUGUCUUGGAGGCCUUUUUCAUGUUUUGCAACUGAUCUCGUAAGCUGAAGAUGCGAGUGUGACUCCUAUUGGCAUAAGCUAUAUGAAGGAGAUCCCAAGCUAUUUUUGCCGAAGAGGCAGUUGCAACAAUAGGAGCAAUGGUGGGGUCAACGGAUGCCAUCAUUGCCUGUUGAAUUAGUUGGUCCUGGCAAAACCAUAGCUCAUAUUCAGGAUUGGAGAUGGUACUAUCAGUUUGUGUGAUAGUGGUUGGCGGAGCAGAUUGGCACCAGUGAGAUGCCCAAGGAGCUUGUGUCCAUUGAGUAGCAUCACUAGUUGCGCCUUCCAGGUGCUAAAGUUGAGGUUACCUUGCAGUUUGAUAGGUAAUUGGGCAGCUGGAUUGAACUGUACCACAUGAGUGGUAGUCGGAACUGCAGCAGCCCUAUCAUUGGUGGUAGCAGGAACAACCAUGUUUGGACGCAAAGAGAGGAAAAAAACUUUGGAUCGGACUCGUGAGAGAGGGGGUCUAAUACCAUAAGGAGAUUGAGAAUCAAAGCAAACUUGAAUGAAUCUUAUUCAAAUGUUACAUAACUUAAAUACAGGUAAGACGUAACUAACUUGACUAAUUCUAAGGAACUGUUCUAACAACUUAAUAUGUAACUAAGUUGACUAAAACUAAGGAACUACUUUAACAACUUAAUCUAAAUCUACUCUAACAACCUGAUAAGAAUUAAUAACAAACUAACAAACUAGUGAGUAUGUCAACAAUAACUUUUAUGAAUAGAUGACACACUUGUCGUUACUUUCACUUCACAGGACAAUUUCUCCGUUCAUUAAACUUUCGUCAUUGAUGGACUUCAACAGAGAUAGUUGUCAUGAAUCAUUUAGCAAAUAAUGCCCCAUUGGCUCUUAAAAUGUCCUUAGCAACAUCUGCUCAUCUUAGCAGGUCUUGCGUUCUCCUUUUUUUAGUGGUUACUUGUAAUGAUUUUCUUCUCCAUUCUCCCAAGGAGGAAACGUGUGCCAAAACUGACUUUUUACCAUUUCUGGAAUUAUUUCAGAUUCAUGUUUGAAACACGAGCAUGGACCUCGUCGAAAUGGUACUUGUGUUAGAUGUGUUACAGUUUCAUAAUUGGCAAGGGAAAUUGCAUUCGGUAAACUCGUUUGCAUUUGGCUGAAACUGGAUUUGAGAUAUUAUAUCCUUGAAUGUGGAAAAUCCCGGAAGUGAAACUAGUAGACCUUUGAUGUUGGUCUAAUUCUAAACUGAAUUAA